rnacentral:rRNA from 1 species
UACGAAGGGGGCUAGCGUUGCUCGGAAUCACUGGGCGUAAAGCGCACGCAGGCGGCUUUUUAAGUCAGGGGUGAAAUCCUGGAGCUCAACUCCAGAACUGCCUUUGAUACUGAGAAGCUCGAGUCCGGGAGAGGUGAGUGGAACUGCGAGUGUAGAGGUGAAAUUCGUAGAUAUUCGCAAGAACACCAGUGGCGAAGGCGGCUCACUGGCCCGGUACUGACGCUGAGGUGCGAAAGCGUGGGGAGCAAACAGG